AGCUUUGCGCAGUGGCAGUAUCGUAGCCAAUGAGGUUUAUCCAAGGCGUGAUUGUUGCUAAUUGAAAUAUGGGAGCAAGAUGAAGAAUUUUUGAACGUGGACAGACUCA
rnacentral:snRNA from 1 species